ensembl:misc_RNA 7SK 7SK RNA
GGAUGCGAGGGCGAUCUGGCUGUGACAUCUGUCACCCCACUGAUGGCCAGGGUUUAUCCGGCUGUUCUGGCUGGCCAGGCAGGUGUCCCCAUCCUCCCUCAGCGCUCCAUGCGAGUCCCUCCUGAAGCUGCGCUCUCGGUGUAACAGGAUGAUAGAAGAGGACCGUUUCCUCGGUCAAGAGUAUCGAGUAGCUGAGCUUCCCUGCUAGAACCUCCAAAAAAGCUGUCAAGAAACUUUAACUGUAUAUUAGUCUUGAAUUGUAAUUAAAACCAAAAUGUAUAU